UACGAAGGGGGCUAGCGUUGCUCGGAAUCACUGGGCGUAAAGGGUGCGUAGGCGGGUCUUUAAGUCAGGGGUGAAAUCCUGGAGCUCAACUCCAGAACUGCCUUUGAUAUUGAGGAUCUUGAGUACGGGAGAGGUGAGUGGAACUGCGAGUGUAGAGGUGAAAUUCGUAGAUAUUCGCAAGAACACCAGUGGCGAAGGCGGCUCACUGGCCCGUAACUGACGCUGAGGCACGAAAGCGUGGGGAGCAAACAGG
rnacentral:rRNA from 1 species